GCCGCCGCCACCGUCAUCGCCAUCACAACGACAUUCAGGCAGAAAAACAGCCCCAGCCAGCAGGCGCAUACAAGCAACGCAACGUCUGUUUCGACAAUCAUUCGCGUUCAUACCUUCGUCGCAAUCAAAGUGUAAGCGGAGCAAACGUUGUGUUGUCGUCGGUAAUGUGUUGUUGUUGCCGCCACCAAUGCUGCCGCAGUAACCAAACAGCAGACAUUCAUUCACACAAUCAAACAAAAGGAAGAAAAACCUAAGAAGCUUGAAGAAAAAACAUACGUCCCAAAAAAGCUUAAAAAAGAAUAGCAUAAUAACAAAAACAACCAAAGAGUGUAGUGUCUUUUUUUUUGCAAGUCCGUAUGUUAGUGGCACACAACGUACCGGGUAACGUAAGAAGACAACGUAACUGCUGUUGUUUUUUUUUUUUUUUUGGUUUCAACAAAAACAAGAGUGUAGCGGUUUAAUGCGUGUGCUGUGCUGUGCAUUGAGUGAGUGAGUGAGUAAUGGCUGUGCUGCCGUUUUAAGUGUGAAAUAAAGCAACAAAACCAGAAAUAAAUGAAACUCUGGCCAUAAAAGAAAUAACGAAUUUAAAUAAUAAAAAAAACAAAAAUAUUAAACCAUUUUACAACAACAAAAAAUCCAAACAUAUAUCAUUGCUGUUAUUGUAUUAGACAAACGAACGCAUAAACAAAACAACUUUGCAUUUCAUUAACAAGAAAAUUUAA
rnacentral:sRNA from 1 species